rnacentral:tmRNA from 1 species
CCGGCAUGAUACCGCCGUUAUCGGGUCAAAUCACAAGUGCCAACGAUAACGAGGCGCUCGCCGUCGCUGCAUAAGCGAUAGGCGCGGUUCGGGGGGGCACCGGGCAACAGAAGCCCCCCCAAU